GACAGAGGUGCCAAGCGUUAGGCGGAAUUACUGGGCGUAAAGCGUGCGUAGGUGGUUUUUUAAGUCCGUUGUGAAAGCCCUGGGCUCAACCUGGGAAUGGCAGUGGAUACUGGAAAGCUAGAGUGCGGUAGAGGGUAGUGGAAUUCCCGGUGUAGCAGUGAAAUGCGUAGAGAUCGGGAGGAACACCAGAGGCGAAGGCGGCGUCCUGGCUCACAACUGACGCUCAUACACGACAGCAUGGGGAGCGAACGGG
rnacentral:rRNA from 1 species